rnacentral:rRNA from 1 species
CCGGAAUCAUUGGGCGUAAAGCGCCUGUAGGUUGUUUAUUAAGUCUGUUGUUAAAGACUAGGGCUUAACCCUGGGAAAGCAAUGGAAACUACUAGACUUGAGUAUGGCAGGGGUAGAGGGAAUUUCUAGUGUAGCGGUGAAAUGCGUAGAUAUUAGAAAGAACACCGGCGGCGAAAGCGCUCUACUGGACCAUUACUGACACUCAGAGGCGAAAGCUAGGGGAGCAAAAGGGAUUAGAUACCCCUGUAGUCCUAGCCGUAAACGAUGGAUACUAGAUGUUGCGCAAUUUGUGCAGUAUCUUAGCUAACGCGUUAAGUAUCCCGCCUGGGGAGUACGCUCGCAAGGGUGAAACUCAAAGGAAUUGACGGGGGCCCGCACAAGCGGUGGAGCAUGUGGUUUAAUUCGAUGCAACGCGAAGAACCUUACCAGGGCUUGACAUACUACAAAUCUUUUCGAAACGAAAGAGUGCCUUCGGGAAUGUAGAUACAGGUGGUGCAUGGCUGUCGUCAGCUCGUGUCGUGAGAUGUUGGGUUAAGUCCCGCAACGAGCGCAACCCUCAUUUUUAGUUGCCAAUUUAUUGGGAUUUCUAGAGAGACUGCCGGUGACAAACCGGAGGAAGGUGAGGAUGACGUCAAGUCAGCAUGCCCCUUAUGCCCUGGGCCACACACGUGCUACAAUGGCGAAGACAAAGAGUCGCAAACCUGCGAAGGCUAGCUAAUCUCGUAAACUUCGUCUAAGUUCGGAUUGCAGGCUGCAAC